AGAUUAUUCUAAUGUUUCUGUACAACUCAUUAAUUAUACAAAGACCGGUAAGCAAGUCUAAUGUUUCUGCACAGAAAACUACUUUAAUAGGCAAAGUUAAUAUAAAAUGAUAGGAAAUGUUAGCAAUUUUUUCCCUUGUUAGCACUAUUUAGUUUAUUAAAAGGAAACAAAAUACUAUGAAGCUCGGUAGUGCUGCAGUUAUUAUUCCUAUUAUCUUUAACCUGCAAUAACUGAUUAAAAGAUGCUGCUUUGUUAUCACAACAUUUUGUACUGUCCUGAAUGGAGGAGGAUGAGCUAUUUCAGUAGCUCUUGUCUUGAAUCAAAAUGCUGCCGAGGUAGCUGCGACUUCGGAAACUGCUGCAUUCUCCCAAAAUCCUGCACUUGUUCUUGCUCCAGUUAUCCCAAGAAUAAAAUACUUCAUAGCCAUCUUGAAGCUUUGCAUAUUCGGAAGGCAAAGAAGGAGCACAAUGCUGCUAGUAUAUCAUUUGGAAGUAGUAGUGCAGAUACAUUUGGUGAUGCUGGUCUUCAAACUGUGUUGACUUAUCUCCGAAAUUCAAAAGAAAUUGUAAAUACUUGUCAUGUGUAGCAAAUUUGUUUCGCUUGUAUAUUUGUAUAUUCAUUUUAAGUUCUCUACUUUCACAGUCAGAAACAGAAGUGUCAGCUUUGAUAUUAUUAGUAGUAAAUUCUAAGUGAUAUUAUGGUUAUUUUGAUA